rnacentral:rRNA from 1 species
UUGGUUAAGUUAGAAAGGGCGCACGGUGGAUGCCUUGGCACUAGGAGCCGAAGAAGGACGGGACUAACACCGAUAUGCUUUGGGGAGCUGUACGUAAGCGUUGAUCCAGAGAUUUCCGAAUGGGGGAACCCACUAUCUUUAGUCGGAUAGUAUCCUUACGUGAAUACAUAGCGUGAGGAAGGCAGACCCAGGGAACUGAAACAUCUAAGUACCUGGAGGAAGAGAAAGAAAAAUCGAUUUCCUGAGUAGCGGCGAGCGAAACGGAAAGAGCCCAAACCAAGAAGCUUGCUUCUUGGGGUUGUAGGACACUCUAUACGGAGUUACAAAAGAAAGUUAUAAAUGAAGCGGUCUGGAAAGGCCCGCCAAAGACGGUAACAGCCCGGUAGUUGAAAUGGCUUUCCCUCCAGAGUGGAUCCUGAGUACGGCGGAACACGUGAAAUUCCGUCGGAAUCCGGGAGGACCAUCUCCCAAGGCUAAAUACUCCCUAGUGACCGAUAGUGAACCAGUACCGUGAGGGAAAGGUGAAAAGCACCCCGGAAGGGGAGUGAAACAGUUCCUGAAACCGUGUGCCUACAAGUAGUUAGAGCCCGUUAAUGGGUGAUAGCGUGCCUUUUGUAGAAUGAACCGGCGAGUUACGAUUUGUUGCAAGGUUAAGCGGAAAAAGCGGAGCCGUAGCGAAAGCGAGUCUGAAUAGGGCGCAUAAGUAACAGGUCGUAGACCCGAAACCAGGUGAUCUACCCAUGUCCAGGAUGAAGGUAAGGUAAUACUUACUGGAGGUCCGAACCC